CAGAGCUCCCUGGGUCAUCCUGUCCCCAGCCCUGGGCAGGGACAUGUUCACUCUUGCUUUAUGUAUUUCAGCUCCAGAAGAAGAGAGAAGCUGCUCCUGGCUGAACAUCUGGGUCUUCCUUACGUUUGCUCUUGCAAUCAAAGCUGCCUUUGUGACAAUCUGCCUUGGAAGGCAAAAGAAGGAAUAGUAUCUCUGAGCAAACAGAGCUUUCAUGGCUAACUGAGGAAGAUUCUGACCCUUUUGGAUCCUCA
rnacentral:lncRNA from 12 species